CCUACGGGAGGCAGCAGUGAGGAAUAUUGGUCAAUGGGCGCGAGCCUGAACCAGCCAAGUCGCGUGAGGGAAGACGGUCCUAUGGAUUGUAAACCUCUUUUGUCGGGGAGCAAAAGACGCCACGCGUGGCGUUCCGAGAGUACCCGAAGAAAAAGCAUCGGCUAACUCCGUGCCAGCAGCCGCGGUAAUACGGAGGAUCCGAGCGUUAUCCGGAUUUAUUGGGUUUAAAGGGUGCGUAGGCGGGCUUUUAAGUCAGCGGUGAAAGUCUGUGGCUCAACCAUAGAAUUGCCGUUGAAACUGGGAGGCUUGAGUAUGUUUGAGGCAGGCGGAAUGCGUGGUGUAGCGGUGAAAUGCUUAGAUAUCACGCAGAACUCCGAUUGCGAAGGCAGCAUACCGGCGCCCAACUGACGCUGAAGCACGAAAGCGUGGGUAUCGAACAGGAUUAGAUACCCCUGUAGUC
rnacentral:rRNA from 1 species